CAGUGGGUAGCCCUGUUAGACUCUUUUCUUUCUGGUUAUAGGAUUGAAAUGAACAUUUGCCAGUGUUGAUAAGAUUGCUACCAAGACACAGAGACUCUUAGGAUGAAGAGGAACUUCUUAAGGAGGAGGCAAAGACCCGGCCCAGUAAGUUUACCAUCUCUUCCCCCUGCUUUCCAUCUACACCUCUGGGGCUACUAUGGAGAUCAUUCACUUGCACAGGAAGUUUUCCACACUGCUGAAUGGAGCCUUCUCUGGAUGGCCCUUGUUCAUGGGUUCAUGCUGUCCUUGGAGGAAAUAUCCUACGUUUUAUCCCUCAGGGAAGCCCCAGCUCCUCUGAUCCCCAAGAUUGCAGAUCAUUCUCCUCUAAUGAGUUGGAAUAGAAAGCUGCAACACAAACAGGAACCUGGGUCAUUCCUCACUGCAUCAUCUCUAUUUAAGGAUGUAAACCUAAACCUCAGAUUCUGCUAUGAUCCUCCACCAGGACCUCCACAGGAGCUAGAAGAACACAGAAUGGACUGAGUACAUUGGAGUGUGUUAAGGAUGACUCAAGGAACUUUCUUGGUAUGGAGUAAUGGUUGAUUAACAACAGAGACUGAGUUUCUGCUGGAAUGUGAUCCUUACUGGGUGAAGGGAGGAAAUAGAGUGGAAUGGGAAUGAACAGAGCCCUGGCUUUGUAGUGUACUAUGACUAAUCAAUCCAAAAUAGUUCACUUACAAAUAGGUUCAUGCUGAAAUGCACUAUAUAAUUAAAUGUUGAUGUCUUGUCAUUCUUCCUAUCUAUUCUGAAAGCCAUGUAACUCCUUACUUAUCUCUAAAUUUUGUGAAAAU
rnacentral:lncRNA from 1 species